GCGCUUUGGCAGCACAUCUACUAAAAUUGGAAUGAUACAGAGAAGAUUAGCACGGUCCCUGCACAAAGAUGACAUGCAAAUUCGUGAAGCCUUUCAUAUUUAA